rnacentral:rRNA from 1 species
GUAUGAAUCGGUUGGAGCAGCGUUCUGUCAUCCGUUUUGAAAAACGGGGCAGGGAGUGUACCUCCGUGGCGAGGCUAACCACUGUUACGGUGGGGAGUCACAGCGAAAGCAAGAAGACCGCAGCACGUCUUUGACGUGUGAGGGUCCUCGUGUAAACGUGCGAGAAGUCACCGCGGUACUAUCCGAAGCUGGUCGAUCCUGGCCUGGGCAGGUUGAAGCGGCGCGAAAGCUCCGUGGAGGACCGCAAGAGGUGCUGCGAUACAAGCGCUCUCGUGACCUGGGUCAAGGGGUGAAAUGUCAAUCGAGAUCAGCAAUGGCUGGUUCCUUUCGAAAUAGGCCGAAGUCUAGCCUUGAGCGAGGUGGUUGUACAGGUAAAGCUACUGAUUCUGGAUUCUGGAGGGUUACCUCCAGACCGGAGUCAAACUCUGAACUGUACAACGCUGUAGACCUCAGGAGUGAGGGAUGGCGCGUAAGGUGCCAUUCCGAGAGGGAAACAACCCAGAGCAAGGUUAAGGCCCCUAAUUCCUGACUAAGUGUCAUUUGAAGGAUGUCGCGGUUCUCAGACAGUGGGGAGGUUAGCUUAGAAGCAGCUACCCUUUAAAGAUAGCGUAACAGCUCACCCAUUGAGAACUGUGGCGCCGUAAAUGGACGGGGCUCAAGUCAGGAGCCGAGACCUUGCCAUUGUUUCGACAAUGGAUAGGAAGGCGAUCCGCAUGGACGGAAGCAUCUGUGUGAGCAGGUGUGGACCGUGUGGAUAUGAAGAUCCUGCCGGUAGUAUCAUCGUAAUUAGAGGUGCGAAUCCUCUUCGUCGUAAGGAUAAGGGUUCCUCUGCAAUGAUUUUCAACAGAGGGUUAGUCGGUCCUAAACCGGACCGUAAUUCGAAUCCGGUGAAUAGGGAAACAGGUUAAUAUUCCUGUACCUCCUCACAUUUACUGACGAUUCGGGAUAAUGGUUGCUGCGUUUUCGCGCAGUCGAAGCCGUGAAGACAGGUGAGCGUAAUGCAUCGACCCUGUUGGCUUAGGGAAUUCGGCAAGUUGGCCCCGUACCUUCGGUAUAUGGGGUGCCUAUCGUCUUGUUACGAUAGGUCGCAGUGACUAGGGAAGCUCGACUGUUUACUAAAAACAUAGCCGACUGCUAGUCCGAAAGGAUUUGUAUAGUCGGCGACUCUUGCCCAGUGCCAGUACCUGAAACCUCCGUUCAAGGAGAAGAAGGGCUGGUAAACGGCGGCAGUAACUAUGACUGUCUUAAGGUAGCGUAGUCCCUUGCCAAUUAAUUGUUGGCCCGCAUUAAUAGGGAAACGAGGCUUCCACUGUCCCAAGCUGUAGCCCGGUGAACCCGCCGUACCGGCGCAUAGGCCGGUGACUCCCGGUGGGAAGCGAAGACCCUUUGAACCUUUACUGCAGUCUAUCGUUGCUGCGGGGUUCCAAGUAUGAAGUGUAGGUAGAAGACGUUACAGAGACGCAUGCGCCAGCAUGUCGCCCAGUCGACCAUGGGACACUACCUACUUGGAACCCUGCGGCUUGACCCUUGCGAGGGGAAAGCGUUAGCUGGGCAGUUUAACUGGGGCGGUAUCCAUCUGAUAACUAAUCAGAUGGGUCCAAAGGUAGGCUCAGUCCGGUCAGAAAUCGGACGUAGAGUACAAAGGCAAAAGCCUGCCUGACUGGUCUCUCGUCAGCAGAGGGACUAGGCGCGAAAGCGUGGCUUAGCGAACGCCUACAGCCAAAUAGUGAGGCUUAGGCCUGACGAAAAAGGUACUCAAGGGAUAACUGGAUUGUCUGCGGCGCGAGUUCACAUCGACCCGCAGGCUUGUUACUUCGAUGUCGGCUCUCCGUAUCCUGGCUGUGCAACAGCAGCCAAGGGUGAGGGUGUUCACCUAUUAAAACGGAUCGUGAGCUGGGUU